rnacentral:rRNA from 1 species
CCUACGGGUGGCAGCAGUGGGGGAUAUUGCACAAUGGGGGGAACCCUGAUGCAGCGACGCCGCGUGGGUGAAGGAGCGUUUCGGCGCGUAAAGCUCUAUCGGCAGGGAAGAAGAUGACGGUACCUGGCCAAGAAGCCCCGGCUAACUACGUGCCAGCAGCCGAGGUAAUACGGAGGGGGCAAGCGUUAUCCGGAUUUACUGGGCGUAAAGGGGGCGGAGACGGCUAUGCAAGUCAGGUGUGAAAGCCCGGGGCUCAACCCCGGGACUGCACUUGGAACUGGAUGGCUGGAGUACAGGAGGGGAAGGCGGAAUUCCAUGUGUAGCGGUGAAAUGCGUAGAUAUUAGGAGGAACACCGGUGGCGAAGGCGGCCUGCUGGACUGUGACUGACGCUGAGGUCCGAAGGCGUGGGGAGCAAACAGGAUUAGAUACCCCUGUAGUC